AAAUGCCAUCGAGCAAAGCUUCUCCUCGCCUAACUAAGGGACGCGGGAUAGUAGCCAGGCUCGCGCUUCCGGGGGUGACAGCGGUAACAGUUAUUUAAAUGACAAACCAUUCAACCAAUCAGAGGAAGGAGAGCAACUGGCCAAUGGGGGUAAAACUGAGGAUUCUACAAUCCUGCACAGAUGGUCUGAGUGAUCAGAAGCUAAUGAGAAUAUUGCUUAUUUGGAUCCUAAACUGCUGAAAGCUGACCAGAUAAUUAAUGGAAGAGCCUUGGUAGUGAAUUGCUAUAUAUUAACUUUUUUGUAAUUUUUUUUAUUGUAGCUAAGCUUAUUGAGUCUUUAUUGCUUACUAAAUUAGUUUCAUACUUUUGUGUCAAUUUUUAUAUCUGUAUAUAAAUAUAUUUUAAAAUAUUGCUUAUUUAGUUAGGUUUUCAUUUUAAAAUCUAUGAUUGUUAUUGACUCUCAAAAUAGUCCCUAAAUUAGAUUAAUCACCACUCUUAUUUCCUCCCCCCAAAACUAUUUUCAGAAGAGUGGUUGCACUACAUUUGGAAAUUCAAAUACAGUAAGAGCUACAAGAAUGAUUGAAGGUUUGAAAACCUACCUCACAGUGAGACACUAAUGAAACUCAAUAGAUUUAGCUCGACAGUGAGGAGUUUAAGAGGUGACUUGAUUAUAGUCUGUAGAUACCUACACUGGGAGAAGAUUUCUGAUAGUAGAGAGUUCUUUAAUCUAGCAAAAGCAUAACAAGAUGAAAUGACAGGGAGUGAAGCUAGACAAAUUCAAACUUGAAAUAAGGUGCAAAUAUUUUACAGAGCGUAUAUAACCAUUGGAACAAAUUAUGUAGCGAUUUGGGAGUGAGGGGGUGGGGGGCGAUUCUCUAUCACUUGAAUUCUCUA
rnacentral:lncRNA from 1 species